rnacentral:lncRNA from 1 species
CCAAAGACUGGUGUAAAGCGAUAUGCAUGCUUCCCCUCACAGCGGGAAACUUGAAAAACAAAACACACCGAUAUAACAUCCCUCAUGAUGGCAGUAUCGCGGGAUUAAUCAUUCUAAUAAGUUUGAUAGUCUUACUAGCCCAAGUAAUGUACAUUUGCAACACGUUUGAAGAACAAAGCAGCAUAGCACCUGUGAUAACGCGACCUCUUCUGAUUGUCUUGAACAGCAUCGGAAUUGUAUCUUGCAUUUAGUUGGGAUACGAGAAAAAAUCAAAAAGAG